rnacentral:rRNA from 1 species
UGUAUUUAUUAGAUUAAAAGCCAAUGCCCCCCGGGGCCCCUUGGUGAUUCAUGAUAACUCCUCGAAUCGCACGGCCUUGCGCCGGCGAUGGUUCAUUCAAAUUUCUGCCCUAUCAACUUUCGACGGCUGGGUCUUGGCCAGCCGUGGUGACAACGGGUAACGGAGGGUUAGGGCUCGACCCCGGAGAAGGAGCCUGAGAAACGGCUACUACAUCCAAGGAAGGCAGCAGGCGCGCAAAUUACCCAAUCCCGACGCGGGGAGGUAGUGACAAUAAAUACUGAUACAGGGCUCUUUCGGGUCUUGUAAUUGGAAUGAGUACAAUUUAAUUCCCUUAACGAGGAACAAUUGGAGGGCAAGUCUGGUGCCAGCAGCCGCGGUAAUUCCAGCUCCAAUAGCGUAUAUUAAAGUUGUUGCAGUUAAAAAGCUCGUAGUUGAACCUUGGGCCUGGCUGGCCGGUCCGCCUCACCGCGUGCACUGGUCCGGCCGGGCCUUUCCCUCUGGGGAACCGCAUGCCCUUCGCUGGGCGUGCCGGGGAACCAGGACGUUUACUUUGAAAAAAUUAGAGUGUUCAAAGCAGGCUUAUGCUCGGAUACAUUAGCAUGGAAUAAUGGAAUAGGACGUGCGGUUCUAUUUUGUUGGUUUCUAGGACCGCCGUAAUGAUUAAUAGGGACAGUCGGGGGCAUCCGUAUUCAGUUGUCAGAGGUGAAAUUCUUGGAUCUACUGAAGACGAACUACUGCGAAAGCAUUUGCCAAGGAUGUUUUCAUUAAUCAGGAACGAAAGUUAGGGGAUCGAAGACGAUCAGAUACCGUCGUAGUCUUAACCAUAAACUAUGCCGACUAGGGAUCGGACGGUGUUGC